rnacentral:rRNA from 1 species
GAUGAACGCUGGCGGCGUGCCUAAUACAUGCAAGUCGAGCGAACAGACGAGGAGCUUGCUCCUCUGACGUUAGCGGCGGACGGGUGAGUAACACGUGGAUAACCUACCUAUAAGACUGGGAUAACUUCGGGAAACCGGAGCUAAUACCGGAUAAUAUAUUGAACCGCAUGGUUCAAUAGUGAAAGACGGUUUUGCUGUCACUUAUAGAUGGAUCCGCGCCGCAUUAGCUAGUUGGUAAGGUAACGGCUUACCAAGGCAACGAUGCGUAGCCGACCUGGGAGGGUGAUCGUCCACACUGGAACUGAGACACGGUCCAGACUCCGACGGGAGGCAGCAGUAGGGAAUCUCCCGCAAUGGGCGAAAGCCUGACGGAGCAACGCCGCGUGAAUGAUGAGGGUCUUCGGAUCGUAAAACUCUGUUAUUAGGGAAGAACAAAUGUGUAAGUAACUAUGCACGUCUUGACGGUACCUAAUCAGAAAGCCACGGCUAACUACGUG